AUGCUUCGUUGUGUCGCACACACAGUCCAGCUCACAUCGUCCCAGAGAUCUGUGCUGUGUUUCUCUUUGCUUCCACACUUAGAUUCUUCCUCAGAUGUGUUUCCUGUGGUUGUGCUAUGCAUUGAUUUAAAGACCGGCGGGCCAGGUGAGAUGUCUCAGGUGCGGCAGGCGGUGAGAGAUGCCUUGUGGGGGAUGUGUGCGGCGGACGCCAUGUCCAUGCCGGUGCACUGGUACUACAACGUGGACGACAUCCGGAGGGACUUCGGAGGCUGGAUCUCAAGCUUCACUUCGCCCAGAAAUAAACACCCGUCCAGCAUCCUCGGCCUCUCCAGCACCGCCGGCAGCGGUCGCAGCGCCGCGUCGUCCAGCGCCAAGCGGCCCGACGUGGUCGGAAACGUGAUUCUGCACGACAAACUGGAGCUGUGGACGUCCAGAGGAGCCGUGCACUACCACCAAGGUCUGCGUGCGGGGGACAACACGCUGAACGUGCUCUGCUCGCUGCGUGCCGCCCGCUCGCUCGUCUCCGGACGCUUCCUGGACGUCUCGCAGCCGGACGCCCGCGCCGCCGUGCUGUCGGACUACGUGCACUUCCUGACCACGCCCGGCUCGCACCGCGACACCUACGCUGAGUCCUUUCACCGCUCCUUCUUCGCCAGCUGGCAGGACAGCAGGCCCACCUCGCCCCGGCAGGUUCUGGAGUUCGCAGAGAAGCGCAGCAGCCGCGCACUGAGCUCCUCCUUCCCCGACAGCCAGCUGGACGCCAUCGGCUGCCUUCCCAUGAUCCUCCCCUUCGUCCUGCUGUCCGCCAGCCAGGAGCAGGCUGUGUCGGCAGCGGUGGAGUUCGUGAAGCUCACCCACCCCCACCCGAAGGUGCCCGGGUACGUGUCGCUCUACAGCCGGGCGCUGCACGCCGUGCUGGGUGGAGCCAGCGUGCGGCAGCAGGCGGAGCUUGCGCUGAGGAGCCUGGACACCUGGGAGGUCAGCAGGAGCUACAGCCGUCGCGCCGCCAGGUUCCCUGCAGGUUCUCAGCAGUGUCUUCAGGUCCAUCAGAACGCUGUUCAGUAUCUGGGUGUCGCCUGCUACACUAAAGGUGCUCUGUCCAGUCUCUUUUAUCUCGCUCACGAGUUCCACGACGACCUGACGGGAGGAAUCCUGAACAACACCAACUGUGGAGGUCAGACCUUCUUCUUCUUCUUCUUCUUCUUCUUCUUCUGGGAGGGAGGAGGAGAAGAAGAGGGAGGAGGAGGAGAGGGAGAAGGAGGGAGGGAGGGAGGAGGAGAAGGAGAGGAGGAGGAGGAGGA
rnacentral:lncRNA from 1 species